AACGAACGCUGGCGGCAGGCUUAACACAUGCAAGUCGAACGCCCCGCAAGGGGAGUGGCAGACGGGUGAGUAACGCGUGGGAAUCUACCCAGAUCUUCGGAACAACUGAGGGAAACUUCAGCUAAUACCGGAUACGCCCUACGGGGAAAGAUUUAUCGGAUCUGGAUGAGCCCGCGUUGGAUUAGCUAGUUGGUGGGGUAAUGGCCUACCAAGGCGACGACGGGUAGCCGGCCUGAGAGGGUGACCGGCCACACCUGGGACUGAGACACGGCCCAGACUCCUACGGGAGGCAGCAGUGGGGAAUAUUGCACAAUGGGCGAAAGCCUGAUGCAGCGACGCCGCGUGAGGGAUG
rnacentral:rRNA from 1 species